CCUGUUGCGGGCAGAUAAAGUGAAUGUGAGCAUCAAUGCCCCCGGCGGUCAGAAUCGAACCUUCACCGGCGAUCACUUCGGUGCCCGGACCCACAAUAAUAUCGACGUCGUUCUGAAUAUCCGGAUUACCGGCCUUGCCGAUGGCAAAAAUACGGCCGUCUUUGACACCGACGUCCGCUUUCACCACGCCCCAGUGAUCCAGUACCACUGCAUUGGUAAUCACCAGAUCCACGGUUUCCUGGCUGGUACGCUGACUCUGACCCAUACCAUCGCG
rnacentral:sRNA from 1 species